UUUGAGGAUUUGAUCCUGGUCCAGGAUGAACGCUGGCGGCGUGGAUAAGGCAUGCAAGUCGAACGAUUAUCUUCGGAUAAUAGUGGCAGACGAGUUAGUAGUACCUUGGAACCUACCCUCGAGUCAGGAAUAAUCCGCCGAAAGGCGGACUAAUACCUGAUAGUUCCCGUAAGGGUAAAGGCAGUUUACUGCCGCUUGAGGAGGGGCCUCGGUCCCAUCAGCUUGUUGGUAAGGUAAUGGCUUACCAAGGCUACGACGGGUAGGGGAGGUGAGAGCCUGACCCCCAACGACGACACUGAGAUACGGGUCGUACACCUACGGGUGGCCGCAGUCGAGAAUAUUCCACAAUGGGCGAAAGCCUGAUGGAGCGACGCCGCGUGCAGGAUGAAUCACUUCGGUGUGUAAACUGCUUUUCUGCCGGAUAAAGCUAGGCAUUUCGGUGCCUUGUUGAUAGUACGGCAGGAAUAAGAGGUUGCAAACUUCGUGCCAGCAGCCGCGGUAAUACGGAGACCUCAAGCGUUAUCCGGAUUUAUUGGGCGUAAAGCGCACGCAGGAGGCCUAGCGGGUCUUUCGGUUAAAUCUUAGGGCUCAACUCUAAGGCUGCCGGAGAAACUACUAGGCUAGAGGACGUUAGAGGGGAGUGGAACACAUGGUGUAGGGGUGAAAUCCGUUGAUAUCAUGUGGAACACCAAAGGCGAAGGCAGCUCCCUGGGGCGUUCCUGACUCUAAUGUGCGAAAGCGUGGGUAGCGAACGGGAUUAGAUACCCCGGUAGUCCACGCCGUAAACGAUGUCUACUAGCUGUUUCGAGUAUCGACCCUCGGAGUGGCGAAGCUAACGCGUUAAGUAGACCGCCUGGGAAGUACGAGCGCAAGCUUAAAACUCAAAGGAAUAGACGGGGACUCGCACAAGCGGUGGAGCAUGUGGUUUAAUUCGAUGGUAAGCGAGACACCUCACCAGGGCUUGAAAUUCUGACGAAGACCGUCUGAAAGGAUGGUUGUCAUUUAUGACGUCAGGACAGGUGCUGCAUGGUUGCCGUCAGCUCGUGCCGUGAGGCGUUCCCUUAAGUGGGGUAACGAGCGCAACCCCUAUCUUGUGUUAUACGUGUCACAAGAGACUGCCACACCAUAUGUGGAGGAAGGUGGGGACGACGUCAAAUCAGCAUGGCCCUUUGAUGCCCUGGGCGACACACAUGCUACAAUGGCCAGUACAGAGGGUUGCCAAGCCGUGAGGCGGAGCUAAUCCCUUAAAACUGGUCUUAGUUCGGAUUGGAGUCUGCAACUCGACUCCAUGAAGUUGGAAUCGCUAGUAAUCGCGGAUCAGAAUGCCGCGGUGAAUACGUUAUCGAGUCCUGUACUCACCGCCCGUCACGUCAAGGGAGCCGGGAAUACUUGAAGUCCCGCUUAGCGGGAUUAGGGUAAGUUCGGUGACAUGGACGAAGUCGUAACAAGGCACGCGUAGCGGAAGCUGUGCGUGGAUUAAUUCGUUUC
rnacentral:rRNA from 1 species